rnacentral:lncRNA from 1 species
UUGUAUGUAAGUUUUUAGUUCAAUGUAACAUGUUAACGGAUGCCUUAAGUUUGCUCGUAUAGCAUAUGCUUUCAUAUUUUGAUUUGAUAUUCAGUAGAUCAAAUUUGUUGUAUCUAUAUCAGGUAUAUCUUCUUGUUAUGCUAAUCUAGCAUGGCACAUUUCGUAAAUGAUUUCCCAUUUGUUUCUACUACUUCUGUUUUGAUGUAGCUUUUCAGUUGUUCAUGUGCGCCAUUUAUGAUCAGGGAUGCUCGAGUCAUGUGGGAUAAUAAAACCGGACACUCCAGAGGUUAUGGCUUUGUCUUAUUCUGCAGUCAGCAGGCAUGCACAACUCAGAUCAUUUCCCUUUUGCAUUUUGCAGUAGCUUUACCAUUUUGAUGGCAUGAGUCAAAUACCCUCGAUGUAAUAUUUUGGUGUCUGAGUGAUACCGAUGGCUUUUGCAAUGCCUAAAUUUUAACUCGGUGAAUUAUAUUUUUCUUGUGUUACCAAUCAAGGAUCCUCUCUUCUCUCGGAAUAUCGAUGUUUCUUUCUGACAUUUCUCAAAAGCGUAUCACAGCCACCUUACAUUUUCCGUGUCAUAUGGAAGGUCUUCUUUGUUAAUUGAGUGAAUAUUUUUCUUGUAGUUUUACCUUUGGUUACUUCUAUGUCUCAUUCUGUUGAUUUACGGUACAAUAAUUAUAUGUAUUAGCGUUAGGUCCUUGCAAAGAAAAGGUCAUCUUUGUGUAAGUGAUUCUACUCAAUAUGUAAUAAUGUUUUUACUACAUGAGAUGGAACUGGGCUUCCGGUUAAUAAGGAAUAUUCUAACAACUGUCUAAUGCAUGCUGAUUUUUAGUAUUAUAUGUUUCCUAUUGGCAGGUUCUUUCUGUUGAGCCACUAACAUAAGCAAAUUAGGUGUGAUUGUUAACAACAACAUUUUAUUUAUCUGUAAAUUGCAGGCACUGGACAGGUUUAAUACAGCAGUUGUGUCACCAAUAUAUUACGUGAUGUUUACUUUGUUAUGCUUGUUCUUGAUAAGAAAAUCAAGCAUUUGGCAUCUAUUGCAAUCUGGAGAUGAUCCAUAUGUGGCCUAAUUUUCUACUACUGAAUCACAAUGCUAUGUUGUGAUUACUGGCAGCAAGAGUCAGCAUGACCGCUCAUUCUGUAUGCUUUAAACUAUUUUAUUGGAGUUUACUAAUUCCAUGUACUGGAAGCAACAGCCUACAAGUUUGAUAUGUGAAAGGUUUAUUAUCUUAUAUCUUGCUUGUGUAGUGUAGGGUGGUUCGGAGGGCACCCGAAGAGAGAUCGUAUCAUAUUUCCUAUCAGUUGUUCUCUGGAUCUUCUCCCCUUCACAUAAGUAACCACACAUUCAUAUGAAGGAAUUCAUAUCUCUUACAUAUCAUUGCAUCUCACACAUAUAUAAUUACUUGAGCCAGGGUUCUUGCUUGAGAAUUGAUGGUGUUGAUGAUGCCAAAGGAUUUUCAUCAUUAUUGGUAAUGUUGCUACAAAUCAACCACAACUUUGAAUAGUAUUGAUAUAUACAGUUCGGCCUCUUCUCUGUAGACUUUAAAGGAUGGAGAAAAAAGAAUGCUCUAUGAUCAGGUAACAAUUUAAGCCCUCUGAUUACACAUGUCUAUGUUUCUUUGACUGCCAAAGGCUAUUUAUUUUUGUAUGUUCAGGAGUUACAAAGAAUUUAUUGCUUGAAACUUAAGAUAAUUAGACAACAAUACAUUUUGACUAAUUGUCUGAUUUUUGUUUGCCUAUACUGUUUGCAAGAGUCAUCAACUUGUCUAUUCUUUUAUUGAAUUCUGCGUAUAACAAAUUAUUAGGAAGACUUCUCAAAACGUGUAAAUGAAUCGAGAUCAGCCAUCUAUCUCCAACACCAUGCACCAAUGCUUGCAACUCACGCAAAUGUACUUUAUCGUGCGCACAUGUAUGACCUUACCGCUGUCGUUGUUAUUCUAUUUUUUCUAAAAAAAACUGAUGUCAUUAGGCUCUAAAUUUGUAGUAACUAAACAUCAAAUACAUACUGUAUCUCAGUUUGCCAAUAUUUUGGUGGUCUCUGCAAUGUUGUUUGCAGGAUUGCCGAUUUUACUUUACAAAGAGUAGCAUUUAAAAAGCGAAUGACAUUUGAUAAAUUGCUGAAAGGUGGUGGUUGCACACUAUGGGGGACAGUGUCCAAGAGAGGGCUCGGAGAUGGUUAGAGGUUAGCUACUGUUCACUAUCUAUCAAUCCUAUCUUCAUGUACCUGUGUGUGUUUGGUACAGUACUUGAUCUCUUAUGAUUUAGGGAGCUCUUCAGAUCUAAGAAGAAAUUGAUGUAAGAUUUAUUUUCAUAUUCUUGGAAACUCAUGCUAUGGAGAAUCAUAAUGAUAUUCUCAUUGUACAGGCGGUGCAAGGUCUAACAUGAUUGUGCUGAUGCUCUCUCCUUUGUAGAGGACCAUCCCGAUGUCUGGGUUUCGGCAUGGUGGUGAGGUGCCUGAGGUCACGGCUCUGAGUCAGGAACCUCUUAUUGAGCGUGCCAGUACUUCAUGGUGGUGACGUAUGUCUCGAUGAUAGUCCAGUUUGAUAAAAUGCCAAUAGGAGCAGGUCUGUGAAGCCAAUAUGAGCCGGUCAGUAAACUAGUGAUGCAGUCUCACUGUUCAUCGUCUCUAGACGCACCUAUAUGAUCCAUGUAUCUAGUUUCUCUCCAAAACUUGUGAUGCCUGCGUUGUGAUGAUCCGAGGAACUCUGCCUCUAUUUUGGAGAUCGCCCAUCUUUUGGAGACCGCUGAACUUUGAUUUGAACCGAUGAAUGUGUCUUUGUGAUCAGUCAUCCACUUUGUAAGAUUGUCAAAUCUCUGUUAAGCUAUCAGCAUAGAUGAAACUACUUGCUUGCUCUGCUUUAUGAAUGAACACUCUUCUACUGCAGUUCUAUUCUCUGUAUUAUAUUUUUAACCAU